CGCAGUAUAUUUUUGUGUUAUGUGUACUUAACAAUCAUAUCACAGGAUUAUACUGUGAG
rnacentral:pre_miRNA from 1 species